AUAAGCGGAGGAAAAGAAACUAACAAGGAUUCCCCUAGUAACGGCGAGUGAACCGGGAAGAGCUCAAAUUUGAAAUCUGGCGUCCUCAGGGCGUCCGAGUUGUAAUCUAUAGAGGCGUUUUCCGUGCCGGACCGUGUCCAAGUCCCUUGGAACAGGGUAUCAAAGAGGGUGAUAAUCCCGUACUUGACACGACAACCGGUGCUCUGUGAUACGUCUUCUACGAGUCGAGUUGUUUGGGAAUGCAGCUCAAAAUGGGUGGUGAGUUCCAUCUAAAGCUAAAUAUUGGCGAGAGACCGAUAGCGAACAAGUACCGUGAGGGAAAGAUGAAAAGCACUUUGGAAAGAGAGUUAAACAGUACGUGAAAUUGUUGAAAGGGAAACGAUUGAAGUCAGUCGUGACUGUUGGGCUCAGCCAGUUCUGCUGGUGUAUUCCCUUCAGUCGGGUCAACAUCAGUUUUGACCGGUGGAUAAUGGCAGUGGGAAUGUGGCACCUCCGGGUGUGUUAUAGCCCAUUGUCGCAUACAUCGGUUGAGACUGAGGAACGCAGCUCGCCUUUAUGGCCGGGGUUCGCCCACGUCCGAGCUUAGGAUGUUGACAUAAUGGCUUUAAACGACCCGUCUUGAAACACGGACCAAGGAGUCUAACAUAUCUGCGAGUGUUUGGGUGUCAAACCCAAGCGCGUAAUUAAAGUGAACGUAGGAGGGAUCCGCAAGGAGCACCUUCGACCGAUCUGG
rnacentral:rRNA from 1 species